AGUAGUCAUAUGCUUGUCUCAAAGAUUAAGCCAUGCAUGUCUCAGUGCAAGCCGUCCAGUACGGUGAAACCGCGAAAGGCUCAUUAAAUCAGUUAUGGUUCCUUAGAUCGUACCCACGUUACUUGGAUAACUGUGGUAAUUCUAGAGCUAAUACAUGCCGACAGAGUUCCGACCAACUGCGCAGAUGUGCGGCGGCCUCGGUCGUCGUCGCUGCGCGGUUCGGAAGGAACGCUUUUAUUAGAUCAAAACCGGCCAGACGGUGGUUUCGCGUUCGCGCGUCUCCAUGUAUGCGGCCCGCGCAAAGACUUGGUGACUCUGAAUAACUUCGAGCUGAUCGCACGGUCCUAGUACCGGCGACGUAUCUUUCAAAUGUCUGCCUUAUCAACUGUCGACGGUAGGUUCGACGCCUACCGUGGUGGUAACGGGUAACGGGGAAUCAGGGUUCGAUUCCGGAGAGGGAGCCUGAGAAACGGCUACCACAUCCAAGGAAGGCAGCAGGCGCGCAAAUUACCCACUCCCAGCUCGGGGAGGUAGUGACGAAAAAUAACGAUACGGGACUCAUUCGAGGCCCCGUAAUCGGAAUGAGUACACUUUAAAACCUUGGUCACACGAGGAUCAAUUGGAGG
rnacentral:rRNA from 1 species